GGAGAGGUGUCCGAGUGGCCUAUGGUGCCUGCCUCGAAAACAGGUUGACGCAAGUCUCGUGGGUUCGAAUCCCACCCUCUCCGCCA
rnacentral:tRNA from 1 species